rnacentral:rRNA from 1 species
CCGAGGGCACGUCUGCCUGGGCGUC